AUUGAACGCUGGCGGCAGGCUUAACACAUGCAAGUCGAGCGGGGUGAUGGUGCUUGCACUAUCACUUAGCGGCGGACGGGUGAGUAAUGCUUAGGAAUCUGCCUAUUAGUGGGGGACAACAUCUCGAAAGGGAUGCUAAUACCGCAUACGUCCUACGGGAGAAAGCAGGGGAUCACUUGUGACCUUGCGCUAAUAGAUGAGCCUAAGUCGGAUUAGCUAGUUGGUGGGGUAAAGGCCCACCAAGGCGACGAUCUGUAGCGGGUCUGAGAGGAUGAUCCGCCACACUGGGACUGAGACACGGCCCAGACUCCUACGGGAGGCAGCAGUGGGGAAUAUUGGACAAUGGGGGGAACCCUGAUCCAGCCAUGCCGCGUGUGUGAAGAAGGCCUUAUGGUUGUAAAGCACUUUAAGCGAGGAGGAGGCUCUUUUGGUUAAUACCCAAGAUGAGUGGACGUUGCUCGCAGAAUAAGCACCGGCUAACUCUGUGCCAGCAGCCGCAGUAA
rnacentral:rRNA from 1 species